GACAGAGGGGGCAAGCGUUGCUCGGAAUUACUGGGCGUAAAGGGCGCGUAGGCGGGAUGGCAAGUCGGUCGUGAAAUCCCUCGGCUCAACCGAAGAACGUCGAUCGAUACUGCUGUUCUUGAGGAUUGCAGAGGAGACUGGAAUUCCCGGUGUAGCGGUGAAAUGUGUAGAGAUCGGGAGGAACACCGGUGGCGAAGGCGGGUCUCUGGGCAAUUCCUGACGCUGAGGCGCGAAAGCGUGGGGAGCAAACGGG
rnacentral:rRNA from 1 species